AUCGUGUUACCUGCGGUGUGUAUCAGGCAGCAAGGAGACUAGAAGAAAGUUCAGACCACGUAAUGCUGUGUGUAUUGGCGGCGGACACCUUGGAUAACUUGGAGCUAUGUAUUCAUUUCACACUAUUAGAGGCAUACUGUUGGGAGAACGACAUACAAGUUAUUAAGGUUGAUUCGGCGACCAAGCUUGGAAAACUUCUUUUAGGCGACAGUCUUCCAGCAAAUGACAACGACUUCGCUGCUGGCCGC